UACGUAGGGGGCAAGCGUUGUCCGGAAUCAUUGGGCGUAAAGAGCGUGUAGGCGGCCCGGUAAGUCCGCUGUGAAAGUCCAGGGCUCAACCCUGGGAUGCCGGUGGAUACUGUCGGGCUCGAGUCCGGAAGAGGAGUGUGGAAUUCCUGGUGUAGCGGUGAAAUGCGCAGAUAUCAGGAGGAACACCAAUGGCGAAGGCAGCACUCUGGGCCGAUACUGACGCUGAGGAGCGAAAGCGUGGGGAGCGAACAGG
rnacentral:rRNA from 1 species